rfam:Ipomoea nil DNA, scaffold: scaffold3087, cultivar: Tokyo-kokei standard.
UUAAGAAAUGUGUAUCUGCUGUAAAUAUGGACGCAGAUCAAUGUGUAGGCUUUAGGAGGGCAUGUAAAGAGUCUUUAUUGCCCUUAAAGAUCCCUUCAGACAUGG